CAUUUUUUGGUUCAGUUCUGGGCUUUUCAGUGAUAGUGAAAGCUCGAUGUGAGCAUGAGCAGUAAUAUUAUCAUUGCAAACAAAUCAAUAUUUCAAAUCGUGAACGAAGGCGCGUGAAUCGACGAUGUUGUGGCAGUUCUUUUCUGUACUUCAAUUCGACUUUAUGGAAUUCCAAUUCGCCAUCAGUAGGCCAUUGAUCUGAAGGAUUUAUAGGAUCAUUCCUAAAACUUUCUUCUUUCUGCAAUGUCUGUAAGUAUACUGAAAAACGCCGGUCAUUUGCAUUGCAUAUGCCAUUGCCAAACCGGCAAGAGAUGGUGAUAUUUGGUUUUUAAGCAAUAUUACAAGAAACGCAGUAAUGGAAGAGGAAAUAAUCGCUAAAAUAUCGAGUCUCACGGCGGACCAU